GUGUCAGCCGCCGCGGUAAUACAGAGGUCCCAAGCGUUGUUCGGAUUCACUGGGCGUAAAGGGUGCGUAGGUGGUGAGGUAAGUCGGAUGUGAAAUCUCCGAGCUCAACUCGGAAAUGGCAUUGGAAACUACCUUGCUAGAGGAUUGGAGGGGAGACUGGAAUGCUUGGUGUAGCAGUGAAAUGCGUAGAUAUCAAGCGGAACACCAGUGGCGAAGGCGAGUCUCUGGACAAUUCCUGACACUGAGGCACGAAAGCCAGGGGAGCAAACGGGAUUAGAAACCCGAGUAGUCC
rnacentral:rRNA from 1 species